rnacentral:rRNA from 1 species
AGUGAACGCUGGCGGCGUGCCUAAUACAUGCAAGUCGAACGGAGUGGCGCACGGGUGAGUAAUAUAUAGCUAAUCUGCCCCUUGCUGGGGGACAACAGUUAGAAAUGACUGCUAAUAAUCCAUAGCAAGGGAGGAGACUCUAUCGUAUCAGCUAGUCGGUGGGGUAACGGCCUACCGAGGCGAUGACGCGUAACUGGUCUGAGAGGAUGAUCACUCAAAUCGGAACGGAGGCACCGUCCAAAAACCUACGGGAGGGGGCAGUAGGGAAUAUUGCGCAAUGGGGGAGACCCAGACGGAGCAACGCCGCGUGGAGGAUGACACUUUGCGGAGCAUAAACUCCUUUUGAUAGGGAAGCGGUACCUAACGAAUAAGCACCGGCUAACUCCGUGCCAGCAGCCGCGGUAAUUC